rnacentral:rRNA from 1 species
GUUGAACGCUGGCGGCAUGCCUUACACAUGCAAGUCGAACGGUAACAGGUCUUCGGUUUCUGACGAGUGGCGACCGGGUAAGUAAUACUUCGGCACGUGCCCGAUCGUGGGGGAUAACGAAGCGCAAGCUUUGCUAAUACCGCAUACGAUCUACGGAUGAUAGCCGCGGACCGCAAGUCCUUACGCUACCGUAGCGGCCGUUGAGAGAUUAGGUAGUUGGUGGGAUAAAGGCUUACCAAGCAGACGUUCUGUAGCUGGUCUGAGAGGACGACCAGCCACACUGGAACUGAGACACGGCCCAGACUCCUACGGGAGGCAGCAGUGGGGAAUUUUGGACAAUGGGCGAAAGCCUGAUCCAGCCAUGCCGCGUGCAGGAUGAAGGCCUUCGGGUUGUAAACUGCUUUUGUACGGAACGAAAAGACUCUGGUUAAUACCUGGGGUCCAUGACGGUACCGUAAGAAUAAGCACCGGCUAACUACGUG